UAGGAAGUGGUGUAGUGGAAGCACUGAGAGUUUUGAGCUCUUGAGGAGGGGUUCGAUUCCCUUGUUCCUAA
rnacentral:tRNA from 1 species